UUUGGAGACAACUGGGGCGUCAGCUUUUCGAAAGUACUGCCAAGAAAAAGACAUGCAGCUGAAAGUUAUCCUUGUGGGCUUGACCAUCUUCGGUCUCAUUAUUGCAGAGAGUGGUGCCAUGCCUGUCAGCAACAGUGCCAAUGAGGCCGAAGCUAGGGCUGAGCCACAGUCCGCUGAGCGCGCUGAGGGAAGCAGUGCUGAGGAGGCACGCAUCAGUGAGGCAUGCCUGAAAUCACUGUGCGGGUAGCACCCUGACACAAGGAAAUGGCACGUUUGAACGAAGGUGUCUCGCAUGACGGCAAUUGAACGUCUUGAAAGAAUUUGAUGCGCAGUCCAGGAAUCCGUGCCAUAUCUUAGCGCUGAAUGCCAGUACUUGUAAAUCGAUGCACUACAGAUAGUAGCAGUCAAUAAAAUUUGCU
rnacentral:lncRNA from 1 species